UAUCUCUGUAGAGUCUGCAUAUCAAUAAGCGGAGGAAAAGAAACUAACAAGGAUUCCCCUAGUAACGGCGAGUGAAGCGGGAAGAGCUCAAAUUUGAAAUCUUCAAGGUUUUACCUUGACGAAUUGUAGUUUAAAGAAGUGUUUUCGGUUAGAGGAGUAGUAAAAGUUCUUUGGAAUAGGACAUCAUAGAGGGUGAGAAUCCCGUAUUUGACUAUUCUUUCUAGCUUUGUGAUACACUUUCAAAGAGUCGGAUUGUUUGGGAAUGCAGUCCAAAAUGGGUGGUAAAUUUCAUCUAAAGCUAAAUACUGGCGAGAGACCGAUAGCGAACAAGUACCGUGAGGGAAAGAUGAAAAGAACUUUGAAAAGAGAGUUAAACAGUACGUGAAAUUGUCAAAAGGGAAGCGUUUGACACCAGUGUUGUUUUCUCGAAAAUCAAUUAAAAAUGGUGGGAUUUUGUGUUGUAUUGACUUUAUCAGCUUUCUGCACUUUUUUCCUAUCUUUUUUAAUGCACUUUUCGUUUAACAAGUCAACAUCAAUUUUUCUUUUGUUGUAAAAGGGUCAUUGGAAGGUGGCUUUCUUUUCGGAGAAAGUGUUUAUAGCCUUUGGCCUCUGCAAUCGGAGAGAUUGAGGUCUGCAGCGUAGAUCCUUCGGGGUUAGAUACAUUUGUGCUAAGUUAUAGCCUUUCAUAGACAACUUGUUGACUAUGAUCAGUCAUGUAGCUUACUCGCUUAUGCUAUUUUACCUACGCUUAGGAUGUUGAUGUGAUACUGCGAGCA
rnacentral:rRNA from 1 species